rnacentral:lncRNA from 1 species
AGACAGUUACACGAUAGCCCUCUUUUCCCACUCGUACGGGCUCUUCUGGGCCGAUCCAAAACCAGGCGAAGACCGGCCUGGUUAGAGAUAUGAUCACCAAAGAACACUGAGCUGGAUGAAGAGAACACAGUGGUAAAUCUCGUAGUAGGUGUAUGGUUUAGUUUUGAAGCAACUGCGGCAGUUGAAAUGGUCGUCAUUUCAGCCAAAAACCUUCUGCGUUAGAUUUGAUGGGUUUUUGCAAAAUUGAUAUCAGAAAAUGUAAUUCGCGCAAGAACUUGGUUGGUAGUGAGUCAGUAGUUGGAGUAAUCGACUGAUUUUCUAAGCUCUCACACCGGUACAGAUAAACGGGUCGGAUCUAAGGCCCAAAUUCAAAGUUAGGAUCCUAAUAUCCAAUCAUAUUAUUCAGCCGGGCAGAAGAAAUACCCUUCCCUUGAUUAGAAUGAACUUGCACAAAAAGGAAGGAAAGCAGAAAAAAAGUAAAUAGUGCAUCAAGAAGUAAAGUUUUGGCAAUCCAAUGAUCAGCAAUGGAAGCUCAGAUAGAAGCAAUUCACACGAACAAAAUCCACUCUGAUAAUUUAAUUGAAAAUUGGUAACUUCUCAGAAAUAAACCUAACUUUUUUUUUUCAUAAAUAUAUUUCCCGUAAAGAUUAUCUCUUUUCCGUUUUCCAUGAUUUCCUUUAACAGAUACCACACCAAAUUCUAGAAUGUUGAAACAGGGAAAAGAAUUCUCAUAUUUUUACCCAAUUAGUAUUAGGAAAUCCUACCAGUAUUCUUUCAAAAACGACUCAAACGACACGGUCAAUAUCCAAAAUAGGCGAACUACGACACGAAACAAGAUAAUAUCACAAAGUCAAAUCAUAAGUAUAUUUAUAAAUAAAAGCAAGAAAGCUAAACGAUGAGCUUAAUAGAAACACAGAAGGAACCUGUUGGAAGCUCUUAACAGUCUUGCCAAUACUCCGGCCAACUUCUGGCAACUUCUUGGGCCCGAAAACCAGCGCAACGACGCCGGCAAUUACCACCAGCUCCGGCACUCCGAGCCCAAAAAGACAGUUACACGAUAGCCCUCUUUUCCCACUCGUACGGGCUCUUCUGGGCCGAUCCAAAACCAGGCGAAGACCGGCCUGGUUAGAGAUAUGAUCACCAAAGAACAGUGAGCUGGAUGAAGAGAACACAGUGGUAAAUCUCGUAGUAGGUGUAUGGUUUAGUUUUGAAGCAACUGCGGCAGUUGAAAUGGUCGUCAUUUCAGCCAAAAACCUUCUGCGUUAGAUUUGAUGGGUUUUUGCAAAAUUGAUAUCAGAAAAUGUAAUUCGCGCAAGAACUUGGUUGGUAGUGAGUCAG